rnacentral:rRNA from 1 species
UAGGGAAUCUUGCACAAUGGGCGCAAGCCUGAUGCAGCGAUGCCGCGUGAGGGGUGAAGGCCUUUGGGUUGUAAACCUCUUUCGACAGGGAAGAAACCACGGGUCACCGUGGUGACGGUACCUGUAGAAGAAGCCCCGGCUAACUACGUG